AAGGCAGGAAGGAAGGAGUGAAGGAUGGGAGAGGGAGGGAAGCAUCUGUACUUCAGGGCUCAGAGAUCCCUCCACCUCCCUACUCCAUCUCAGCAUGCUUUCUCGAUGUUUCCUGUCGCUCCCCCCUUAAGGGCGCGACGCAGGGAACCCUGAGCCACCCUGUUGCCAUCUGCUCUAUUUGUGUGCCCAAGCCCAGCAAAGCUGCACUGUGGCCAACACAGACAAUCUGGCAGGACUCCAAGACUUCUGGGUUAGAACCCCAGCUUGCAAUGCACCACCGAGCAAUACUUUGUCAUGCAUUCAUCCAGCAAAUUCUUGAUCAAUAUUCACCCCACCGCUGCGGGCCAGGCUCUGCGCUAGAAGCACAGGCACAGCACUGAGCGAGGUGCACGGGGUCCCUGCUUUCUUCUUCUGGGAGAGACGGACAACAAGCAAAUGAGCAAACGGCAGGUGGUGAUUGCUCUGCCCAUAAGAUGCCUAUUCAUUACAAAGAAAAAAAUAGUAACACAGUACAGAAACCUGGCAGACAGCACCGUAACCAAGUGAUCAAAGUAAACACCACCAGUAAUGGAUCAAAUGGACAUCAUGUGCCUCCCAAUACGAUGCCCUGAGAAGGACACACAUCGCCUCGGCGGGGUUUCUGCCCAACACACAGAACCUGAAUCUAGUCACAGGAAACAUCAGACGAAGCCAAACUAAGCGACAGUCCACACAAAGAAUCCCGGCCUAUACUUUUCAGAAGUGUUCAUGUCACAAAAGGCAAAGACAGACUAAGGGACCACGCCAGAUUAAAGGAGAUUAAAAAGGCACAAUAACUGAAUACAAUGUAUGACUCGAGAUUAGAUCCUGGGCCAGAAAAAGAUUUGAUUUCUUUUCUUACGAAGGACAUUAGUGGGACAACUAAUGAGAAUUUGAAUAAGAACUGUCAAUCAGGUAA